ensembl:lncRNA
UCCAGUCCAAAUGAAGUCUACUAUUACAACCACUGUGAAAGCUUGGACAUCCUGCACCAACUACUUUGUUUAUGGAUGAGACGAACGCGGCCCAGGGUUGCUAGGGGAACGCCGAAAGUGGCCAGCUACUGAAAGCAGGAGAACGACGCUGCAACGCACAUGGCUUGUGCAUGAAGUAUUGCAGGGAGGGAAAGUCGCUAGCUAGAUUCCCGAGCUCAUCAUGAGUGACCUGGAGUCCCUGGCAGUGCCAAGGAACGAUCAUCCUAGGUACUCACUGCAGCUGGAAAACAGGAGGAGGAACGUUUUUGUAACCCAGUUAGGGGAACACAGGGAAGAAGAGGAUAAAGACGUUACUCAUAUCCCCAUCAUCAGCGAGGCCCCCAGCAAGAUUCUUGAGACUGAUGCAAACUCUUUGCAAAAAACCUUGGUUCUGAAGAAAGAGGUUGAAGUUGAUCGUGUCACGGCAGAGCUGAUUGCUAAGAGGCAGGAAUUUAAAGAGCGGAUGGAAGCUGUGGCUCAGCGGAGAGCACAAUUUGCCAAAAAGCAGCAGGAUAGCAGGAAUCAAGCUCUUAAAUUUGACAAGUUUCUUAAAGAAAGUGAUGUGAAGAGGAGGCGUGCACUCCAGAAAUACAAAGCAGAAGUAAAAAUGAAUGAAAUAAAACAGAGGGAGAUAGAUAAAUUGGUAGCAGAACUUGAAAAACUCAAAGUCAGACAACAGAAGCUGCAGAAGAAGGUAGCCAAGCAAAAAGUGUAUAAGGAUUUCCUACUGAAAGUCAUUGACCAGUUGCCUGACAACUAUCUGGAGUAUGGUACAGAUUCUGUCAUUGGAGCUAUCAGACGGCAUGAGACGCUGUCAGCUACAAACCAGACCUUGAUAAAGAACUUGAUCACUCUGUCAGAUGACUUUGAGAAAAGCCAGCGUGACCUUGAAACCUUGCAACGGGAACAUGAUACCACAAAACUUAUGCUGAUUAGGGAACUUUCUGAGCUUCAGAUGAAAUGCAACAGAAUACAGGAGAAAAACAAGCAGCUGGAAGUCAGUAUUAAUCAAGAGAAAGGUCACUUCAGAUAUCAGAGUCAAGAGCUAGGCAGCUUGUUGUUAGCUAUCGCCAACCUGGCUGAGCAGUGCCACACGCAGUAUUAUGGCCCCUUGCAGGAAAUGGAAUGGUUGUCAAAACUGGACAUGAUCCAAGAAUUCAUUCUGGAAAAAAAGCAUAUCCAGCAAUUAGCGACUCAGCCUGAUGAAUCUGGGGCAUUGCUAUCUAGUCUUGGAGACCAAACUCAGAGCAGAAAAAUGGGAAUCACCAAGAAGUUCCGAAGCCAAGUUCCAGCAGGCAGUGGUGGUGUAAUACAAACUCCUAAAAACAAGGGGAAAGCAACAGUGUGA